rnacentral:lncRNA from 1 species
CUUGGAUCAAACCGACAUAGAUUGUAUGGUUUAGAUUCAUCCUUUAGGUCGGUGGAGAUCUCCCGCAAAGCAGAGUCCUGAUUGGACUCAGGGAGGGGGCGGGCGCCCAGUAGGACAGGGCGGGCGCCCUGUCUCUGGCCCCGUUUCGCCUCCGCUUCGGUCUCGUGGCUUCUGGAGUCUUCUAGAUGUAAGAUAAUUG